CUUUUGGCUUGGAGGGCUUCGGCCUUCACGGCUGGCGCAGCCUGGAUUCCCGUCCGGAGGACCUGGCGGCACCCGGUGUUUGCGUGCCUGCGAGCAAGGGGUAGAACGCGGCCCAGGAAUGUGGGAGGGGGCGGUCUUCGCUCGGGUUUGCUGGCCUAGACCUGAACUCUUCAGAUAAUCAGAGUGGAGGAAGUACAGCCAGCAAAGGGCGCUAUAUUCCUCCUCAUUUAAGGAACCGAGAAGCUACUAAAGGUUUCUACGAUAAAGACAGUUCAGGGUGGAGUUCUAGCAAAGAUAAGGAUGCGUAUAGCAGUUUUGGAUCUCGUAGUGAUUCAAGAGGGAAGUCUAGCUUCUUCAGUGAUCGUGGAAGUGGAUCAAGGGGAAGAUUUGAUGAUCGUGGACGGAGUGA
rnacentral:sRNA from 1 species